rnacentral:rRNA from 1 species
GGUUCGAUCAUGGCUCAGAUUGAACGCUGGCGAUGCUUUACACAUGCAAGUCGAACGGCAGCACGGACUUCUCGGUCUGGUGGCGAGUGGCGAACGGGUGAGUAAUGUAUCGGAACGUGCCUAGAAGCGGGGAGUUGGACCACAGCGAAAGCGUAGCUAAUACCGCAUACUGCCCUUCGGGGAAAGCGGGGGAUCUGGCCUGCAAUUCAUUAGAGCGGCCGAUAUCGGAUUAGCUAGUUGUGUACCUUGGUCACCAAGGCGACGAUCCGUAGCUGGUUUGAGAGGACGCAUCAGCCACACUGGGACUGAGACACGGCCUAGACUCACGGGAGGCAGCAGUGGGGAAUUUUGACAAUGGGGGAAACUCUGAUCUCACGAUUCCGCGUGUGCGAUGAAGGCCUUCGGGUUGUAAAGCACUUUUGGCAGGAAAGAACGGCACGGAUAAUACCCGUGCAACUGACGGUACCUGCAGAAUAAGCACCGGCUAAAUUACGUGCCAGCAGCCGCGGUAAUACGUAGGGUGCAAGCGUUAAUCGGAAUUACUGGGCGUAAAGCGUGCAGGCGGUUCGGAAAGAAAGAUGUGAAAUCCCAGAGCUUAACUUUGGAACUGCAUUUUUGAAUCACCGAGCUAGAGCGUGUCAGAGGGAGUGGAAUCUCGUGUGUAGCAGUGAAAUGCGUAGAUAUGGCGGAGGAAUUGAAGGCCAUGAAGGCAGCCUCCUGGGAUAACACUGACGCUCAUGCACGAAAGCGUGGGGAGCAAACAGGAUUAGAUACCCCGGUAGUCCACGCCCUAAACGAUGUCAACUAGCUGUUGGGGCCUCGCCCGUAGCGCAGCUAAUUCAGUGAAGUUGACUGCCCGUCAGAGUACGGUCGCAAGAUUAAAAGAAACUCAAAGGAAUUGACGGGGACUCCGGCCAAGCGGUGGAUGAUGUGGAUUAAUUCGAUGCAACGCGAAAAACCUUACCUACUCCUUGACAUGUCUGGAAUCCCGAAGAGAUUUGGGAGGUUUCGCAAGAGAACCGGAAAUACAGGUGCUGUAUUGUCGUCAGCUCGUGUCGAGUUGGGUUAAGUCCCGCAACGAGCGCAACCCUUGUCAUUAGUUGCUACGAAAGGGCACUCUAAUGAGACUGCCGGUGACAAACCGGAGGAAGGUGUAGGAUGAGUCAAGCCUCAUGGCCCUUGCGGUAAAUACACGUCAUACAAUGGUCGGGACAGAGGUCGCUAACCCGCGAGGGGGAGCUACAAUCCCAGAAACCCGAUCGUAGUCCGGAUCGGUAGUCUGCAACUCGACUGCGUGAAGUCGGAAUCGCUAGUAAUCGCGGAUCAGCAUGUCGCGGCGAAUACGUUCCCGGGUCUUGUACACACCGCCUCGUCACACCAUGGGAGUGGGUUUUACCAGAAGUAGUUAGGCCUAACCGUAAGGAGGGCGAUUACCACGGUAGGAUUCAUGAUUGGUGAAGUCGUAACAAAGGUA